rnacentral:ncRNA from 2 species
AUCGUUCAUCUCUUUCCUGGAGACGGAAGUAAGGAGUUAUAUCUCCUGAAGGAACGCGCC